UACGUAGGGGGCUAGCGUUGUCCGGAAUCAUUGGGCGUAAAGAGCGUGUAGGCGGUCCGGUAAGUCCGCUGUGAAAGUCGGGGGCUCAACCCUCGAAUGCCGGUGGAUACUGUCGGGCUAGAGUGCGGAAGAGGAGUGUGGAAUUCCUGGUGUAGCGGUGAAUGACGCAGAUAUCAGGAGGAACACCAAUGGCGAAGGCAGCACUCUGGGACGUGACUGACGCUGAGACGCGAAAGCGUGGGGAGCAAACAGG
rnacentral:rRNA from 1 species